rnacentral:rRNA from 1 species
AACGUAGGAGACAAACGUUAUCCGGAGUUACUGGGCGUAAAGGGCGUGUAGGUGGUUUCGUAAGUCUGGCGUGAAAUUUUUCGGCUUAACCGGGAAAGGUCGUCGGAUACUGCGGAACUAGAGGACGGUAGAGGCGUGUGGAAUUCCGGGUGUAGUGGUGAAAUGCGUAGAGAUCCGGAAGAACACCGGUGGCGAAGGCGGCCUGCUGGGCAGUAGCUGACGCUGAGGCGCGACAGCGUGGGGAGCAAACAGG